rnacentral:rRNA from 1 species
CCUACGGGAGGCUGCAGUGGGGAAUAUUGGACAAUGGGGGGAACCCUGAUCCAGCCAUGCCGCGUGUGUGAAGAAGGCCCUCGGGUUGUAAAGCACUUUCAGUGAGGAAGAACGCCUGGUGGUUAAUACCCAUCAGGAAAGACAACACUCACAGAAGAAGCACCGGCUAACUCCGUGCCAGCAGCCGCGGUAAUACGGAGGGUGCGAGCGUUAAUCGGAAUUACUGGGCGUAAAGCGCGCGUAGGUGGCUUGAUAAGCCGGUUGUGAAAGCCCCGGGCUCAACCUGGGAACGGCAUCCGGAACUGUCAAGCUAGAGUGCAGGAGAGGAAGGUAGAAUUCCCGGUGUAGCGGUGAAAUGCGUAGAGAUCGGGAGGAAUACCAGUGGCGAAGGCGGCCUUCUGGACUGACACUGACACUGAGGUGCGAAAGCGUGGGUAGCAAACAGGAUUAGAUACCCUUGUAGUC